GGUAUCCUGUCUGAAUAUGGGGGGACCAUCCUCCAAGGCUAAAUACUCCUGACUGACCGAUAGUGAACCAGUACCGUGAGGGAAAGGCGAAAAGAACCCCGGCGAGGGGAGUGAAAAAGAACCUGAAACCGUGUACGUACAAGCAGUGGGAGCCUCUUUAUGGGGUGACUGCGUACCUUUUGUAUAAUGGGUCAGCGACUUAUAUUCUGUAGCAAGGUUAACCGAAUAGGGGAGCCGAAGGGAAACCGAGUCUUAACUGGGCGUUAAGUUGCAGGGUAUAGACCCGAAACCCGGUGAUCUAGCCAUGGGCAGGUUGAAGGUUGGGUAACACUAACUGGAGGACCGAACCGACUAAUGUUGAAAAAUUAGCGGAUGACUUGUGGCUGGGGGUGAAAGGCCAAUCAAACCGGGAGAUAGCUGGUUCUCCCCGAAAGCUAUUUAGGUAGCGCCUCGUGAAUUCAUCUCCGGGGGUAGAGCACUGUUUCGGCAAGGGGGUCAUCCCGACUUACCAACCCGAUGCAAACUGCGAAUACCGGAGAAUGUUAUCACGGGAGACACACGGCGGGUGCUAACGUCCGUCGUGAAGAGGGAAACAACCCAGACCGCCAGCUAAGGUCCCAAAGUCAUGGUUAAGUGGGAAACGAUGUGGGAAGGCCCAGACAGCCAGGAUGUUGGCUUAGAAGCAGCCAUCAUUUAAAGAAAGCGUAAUAGCUCACUGGUCGAGUCGGCCUGCGCGGAAGAUGUAACGGGGCUAAACCAUGCACCGAAGCUGCGGCAGCGACGCUUAUGCGUUGUUGGGUAGGGGAGCGUUCUGUAAGCCUGUGAAGGUGUACUGUGAGGUAUGCUGGAGGUAUCAGAAGUGCGAAUGCUGACAUAAGUAACGAUAAAGCGGGUGAAAAGCCCGCUCGCCGGAAGACCAAGGGUUCCUGUCCAACGUUAAUCGGGGCAGGGUGAGUCGACCCCUAAGGCGAGGCCGAAAGGCGUAGUCGAUGGGAAACAGGUUAAUAUUCCUGUACUUGGUGUUACUGCGAAGGGGGGACGGAGAAGGCUAUGUUGGCCGGGCGACGGUUGUCCCGGUUUAAG
rnacentral:rRNA from 1 species